rnacentral:rRNA from 1 species
UACGGUAGGGAGCAAGCGUUGUCCGGAAUCAUUGGGCGUAAAGCGCGUGUAGGCGGUUCGGUAAGUCUGCUGUGAAAGUCACAGGCUCAACCUGUGAAUGCCGCUGGAAACUGUCUGGCUAGAGUCCGGAAGGGGCGAGUGGAAUUCCUGGUGUAGCGGUGAAAUGCGCAGAUAUCAGGAAGAACACCAAUGGCGAAAGCAGCUCUCUGGGACGGU